GCUACACUCAACACCUCUUCACUUUAUGGAUUAUGGGCAAGCUAUGAAUCUCAACAUUUGAAGCUAUAUUUUUGUGCUUUUUGGGCUAAACUCAAUACUUAACAAGGCUUUGGUAGAAGAUUCUUUCAUAAGCCGCAAAGCUUACAGCCAAGAUGAAGUUCCUUUAGUUGCAAGUACCGCAGACGUCGACGACAACCUUGUGGCAAACUACUUGGGAUACUACGACUGGGGCAUUUCGCUGGGGUCGUAGAUGAGUCAAACUUGGAAGGUCCCCUAUUGUAGUUAUUUUGUAUGUGGCUCGUGUGUCAUGUGACACAUGUAUUUGAUGAGCCUUCCUUUUGGUAUGUAAUUACUAACUCAUGUUGAAGCCUUAAACAGAUGGACAUUAUUAUGGCUUUUUUGUGUAAUUAAUAGAUGUGUUUAUAAAUGUGCUUUCCGCUAUCUAGACAA